GGAACGAUGGACCUUGCUCCAGGCGUCGAGCGGCGGACGGGUGAGUAAUGCAUAGGAAUCUGCCCGGUAGUGGGGGAUAACCUGGGGAAACCCAGGCUAAUACCGCAUACGCCCCACGGGGGAAAGCAGGGGAUCUUCGGACCUUGCGCUAUCGGAUGAGCCUAUGUCGGAUUAGCUUGUUGGUGAGGUAAUGGCUCACCAAGGCGACGAUCCGUAGCUGGUCUGAGAGGAUGAUCAGCCACAUCGGGACUGAGACACGGCCCGAACUCCUACGGGAGGCAGCAGUGGGGAAUAUUGGACAAUGGGCGAAAGCCUGAUCCAGCCAUGCCGCGUGUGUGAAGAAGGCUUUCGGGUUGUAAAGCACUUUCAGUGAGGAAGAACGCCUUGAGGCUAAUACCUUCGAGGAAAGACAUCACUCACAGAAGAAGCACCGGCUAACUCCGUGCCAGCAGCCGCGGUAAUACGGAGGGUGCGAGCGUUAAUCGGAAUUACUGGGCGUAAAGCGCGCGUAGGUGGCUUGAUAAGCCGGUUGUGAAAGCCCCGGGCUCAACCUGGGAACGGCAUCCGGAACUGUCAGGCUAGAGUGCAGGAGAGGAAGGUAGAAUUCCCGGUGUAGCGGUGAAAUGCGUAGAGAUCGGGAGGAAUACCAGUGGCGAAGGCGGCCUUCUGGACUGACACUGACACUGAGGUGCGAAAGCGU
rnacentral:rRNA from 1 species